UGUGGCGAGACACCUGAGGGGCAGCUUUUUAUUAGGUUUAAAGUUACAUAUGUACAUUAAUUUAUAUAAUACACAUCAAUAUCCUGUUGAAACAAUGCGAAGUUGUACAGAGAACCGAAUUUUUAGGUGUUCUGAAGAAAAUGCCGUUGUGACUCAGCUGUCAGUCCGUCAGGUCAGCGUUCCUGAUUUCUGCUGGAAUGCUCCGGAUCGUCUCGAAACCCAUAUCGGUCAGGCUGUAUUGGAUAUGAUCCACCAGGAUCUCGUGUGAUUUCAGGACGGGAUGUGCACGAGUAUCUCCUUCACAUGAGCUGUUCCAAACCCUACAUUGACAGCACCCUUCUAAGGGAAAGUCCUGUGGAAGUGGAAAUUAUCCUCUUAAAGAGAUGUUUAUGGUCAUCAGUGAGGAAUGAGACGGAUCCACCUGCAGAAAAAGUGAUCUUUCAAGGCA